UCAAGCUAAAAAGGGCGCAAGGUGAAUGCCUUGGCACUGGGAGCCGAUGAAAGACGUGGUAAGCUGCGAAAAGCUUCGGGGAGGAGCAAACAUCCAUUGAUCCGGAGAUAUCUGAAUGGGGCAACCCAAUGGAGUUCAUACUCCAUUAUCCAAUACUGAAUCCAUAGGUAUUGGAAGGGAACCGCCUGAACUGAAACAUCUAAGUAGGGCGAGGAAGAGACAUCAAACGAGAUUCCGUAAGUAGUGGCGAGCGAACGCGGAAGAGGGCAAACCGAGAGGAGAAAUCCUUUCGGGGUACGGACUGCUUUUAGGACUGAAAGAGUUAACAGAAUGGCAUGGGAAGGCCAACCGAAGAGUGUGAGAGUCACGUAAGUAAAAAUUCUGACAGCUGCGCAGGAUCCAGAGUACGGCCAGACACGUGAAACCUGGUCGGAACAUGGGGGGACCACCCUCCAACCCUAAAUACUACCCAGUGACCGAUAGCGUAUAGUACUGUGAAGGAAAGGUGAAAAGGACCCCGGGAGGGGAGUGAAAGAGAACCUGAAACCUUGUGCCUACAAGCACAUAGAGCCCGUCAAAGGGUGAUAUGGUACUUUUUGUAGAACGGUCCGGCGAGCGAUUGUACGUUGCGAGCUUAAGGUCUUAAGGACUGGAGGCGUAGCGAGAGCGAGUCUAAACAGGGCGUUUAGUAGCGUGCAAUGGGCCCGAAACCGGGUGACCUACCCAUGAUCAGGCUGAAGUGAAAGUAAAAUUUCAUGGAGGGCCGAACCGACCUCCGUUGAAAAGGCGGCGGAUGAAUUGUGGGUAGCGGAGAAAUUCCAAUCGAACUCGGAGAUAGCUGGUUCUCCCCGAAAUAGCUUUAGGGCUAGCCUCAUGUUAGAUAUCCGGAGGUAAAGCACUGAAUGGCCUAGCGUCCGAGAGGAUAGCGAAGCCUAUCAAACUAAGAAUGCCGGAAUAUUGAUGCAUGGGAGUCAGACAGUGUGAGAUAAAUCUCAUUGUCAAAAGGGAAACAGCCCAGAUCUACAGCUAAGGUCCCAAAUUGUAUCUAAGUGGAAAACGAUGUGGAAAUACGCAGACAACCAGGAUGUUGGCUCAGAAGCAGCCACUCAUUUAAAGAGUGCGUAAUAGCUCACUGGUCGAGCGUCUCUGCGCGGAAAAUUUAACGGGGCUAAGAUACAAACCGAAGCUUAGGCUGCAUACGUAAGUAUGCGGGGUAGGGGAGCGUUGUGUAAGCGGAGAAACAGUAGCGAAAGCGGCUGUGGAGUUUACAGAAGUGAGAAUGCCGGAAUGAGUAGCGCGAAUGAUGUGAGAAUCAUCAUGGCCGGAAACCUCAGGUUUUUGGAGGAAGGUUCGUCCGCUCCAAGUUAGGCGGGAGCUAAGGUGAGGCCGAAAGGCGUAGCCGAUGCACAGACGGUAGAGAUUCCGUCCCCACCGAAAGAUUUAAGCGCAGGGACACUUUUAGAAGGUCGGAGCCAGGUGUUGGUUCUGGUAGAGAUCGAGGGAAGAUUAGUACCGAAGUCCGGCUGGAUAAGAGGCGAGAAAAGCUGCGUGUAUAUCUAAGGUGCCCGUACCGCAAACCGACACAGGUAGGUAGGAAGAAGAUUCUAAGGCCAACGGGAGAAGGGUUGUUAAGGAACUCGGCAAGUUGACCCCGUAACUUCGGAAUAAGGGGUGCUCAUGAAAGUGAGCCGCAGAGAAUAGGCCCAGGCAACUGUUUACCAAAAACACAGGUUUGUGCUAAAUCGAAAGAUGACGUAUACGAGCUGACGCCUGCCCGGUGCUGGAAGGUUAAGAGGAGAUGUGCAAGCAUUGAAUUGAAGCCCCAGUGAACGGCGGCCGUAACUAUAACGGUCCUAAGGUAGCGAAAUUCCUUGUCAGGUAAGUUCUGACCCGCAUGAAAGGCGUAAUGAUUUGGGCACUGUCUCAACAGCCCGCCCGGCGAAAUUGUAGU
rnacentral:rRNA from 1 species